rnacentral:lncRNA from 1 species
GAUAUAUGAAGAAGUAUGGCAUUUUAAAAAUUAUGUACCAUUGAGCGUGGUGGUUCAAGUGGUGUGAAUUCGUGAAGAUGGAAAACAUGAGACAUGGUUUUUUAUUAUUGAAGGCUCUUUGUAUUUGGUACUUUUCUAUUCUCAUCAUAGUUCUAUGUAUCUUUGAGCACUUGAUAUCCAUCUUUGCUAUACUGUCAAUUAGUGUACUGUGUACAGAGAGCAAAAAUUUUUUGCCCUCUGUUAUUUAGCACCCUCUUAGUCCGUUUCUGGAUCCACCACUGGGAGUACACAUUCAUCGAUCCACAUAUACAUAUUCCUUAUCCACUCAAAAAAUGUGCUACUCCUACAUUGGGAGAGAACACCCAAAAAUAUUCAUUGCCAUUAUGUCUUUUUCUACUUGUCCAAUAAAGCUCCAGUUAUUUCAGUUGAUACUCCCUACUGCUAUUAGUGCUUUAAAAGGAUUGAGUAUUCUAAAAAAAAAGAAAAGAAAAGAAAGAGGACAAAAGUGUCAAAAGAAGGGAAGUAUGUUUUCAGAGUCCUUAUUUUCAGAGUAGGGAAGUAUGUUAUCCCCAAGGAGCAAUUGUAGAAUUAGAUUUUCACCAUCAGUCAUCACCCCUCAUUAUUACCAUCAUUCUUAUCACUGAUUUCAUUCACUGCACUCACAUGCAUGUAUGACUUAAUUGUAUGACUAGUUUCUCUAGAUCCAUGGUUUAACUUUGCAAUAUAUGAAAGUAGCUUUGAUUUGUCUCCUCCACCUAUAAGCUCCACAUAAGCCUAUUAGAAGUAGGGUGAAAGAGAGAAGGCAAUUUCACUAUGCCUUAGUCCUACAAAUAUGUUGGGAUAAAUUAACUGCACUCCUCUAAAUAAGAUUUAAGUAAGAUUAUCCGCAAGCGCACAGAUAUCGUACCAAUGUCACAUUUUACCCGGGGGGUUUUAAAUAUUGUAUCCACAGGGAAGGUCUAUAUGUAGGACUUAUAACUAUAACUUAUACUAUUGGUGUGAAUGGUAAACCAUAACUAGAAUCCUACUCAUAACAGGGAUAACUCACUUGAUAAAAGAUAUAAGAUAAAUAAUGAUCAGGCAUCAUAAAUAGAUAAAUAUCAGAGCUCUUCUAGUCAAAGUAAUAGCUAGCAAUGGAUAAAUUUAGGAAUAAAUACUAAGGUAAUUCUAUAACUACGUCAAUGAAUAACUCUAAUUAGUGCAACUACAUCUAGAAAUCAUUGUUAAGUCAACCCUAUAUCAUGAUCACAUGCAAAGAGGCAUCAACUAAUGAGGGUUUUAAGACGCAACCGUCACCUCCUUCGCGACCGCGCCCAAGCUAGUCCUACGUACGGGGGGUGGACUACAGAGGAACCAACACAAUUGUCACC